GCUGCUGCUGACACCCACUGCCUCUGGGGAAGGAAAAGAAACCUUCCACCCCUGAGGAAAAUGAGGGAGAAGCUGCAAGGUUGAUCAUGUCAGUGGUUUUGUUGCAUUCAAACCAUCGUCCGCAUUGUUCGCAAAGCUCUUUGCAGUGCCUCGGAGCUGCCCAGCAAACCCUCCCGAUGGCUCCAGUGCCCACACUGAGAGCCAGCUUGAGCUGACGGUGGCAGUCAGAUGAGCCUGGAUCGGUUGUGCUAACUUGAGCUGUCGCCUGCAGCUGCAUCUCUCCUCGUUAGUAGCUCGAGCGUCGGUAACACUUGGGCUUUGAUCCGUGCAUCCUGACAAGCCAACUAGCGUGAGUUUUUAAAAUGCUGCUUAGCUUCCAUUAGCAAUGUCCCUGGGCAGGAGCUGGCAAUGCUCACUGCCCUGAGCCUUUGGGAGGAAGAGCAGCAUAGAAAUUGAGUAAAUAAUUAAACACUCGUGUGACGCCUUGAGCUACUGCUGCGGUGAAGGGAGGUCCAGACAGCACUUUUAUUGGCAGGUCUCCAAGCCCUUUCCCAAAGAGGUUUCUGCUCCUCCCUGGAGGCCUGUGAACUUGUCCUCUCCUUUUGCGGAGUCUUUUGUGGAGCUAAAAACUCUACUGUCUUUCCUUGUCACUGUGAAUGCAAAGCUGCUAAUGUCUGCAUUUAAGCUGAUGUCCUGGGAAGUACCCCGUGAACGAGAGAGAGAGAGAGUGUGUGUGAUGCUGUUCCUCGAUCCUCCCUGCCCAGCGCUCCUGCAACAAGGACGUUUGUCCUGAGGUCAAAUCUAAAUCAACUUGGCUGCAAUUUCAGGCUGUUGCUUUGCGUCCUGCUCUCUGCAGCAGGGGUGGAAAGUCCUUCUCUGUCUUUGACAGCCUUUCAGGGAUUUGAAUGCUUGUACCCGGCCACCCUCCAUCUCCUUUCUUCCAAGCUAAAUGUUGUACUCUCACCUUUUCCUCCUACCAUUUCCCUCCCAGCUGCUUUGUCCUUUUUGUCACCUGCCCCGGACCAUCUCCACCUUCUCCAUAUCCUUCUUAAAAUGUGUAUGUGUUUUACAGUACACCAUACUCUGCAAGGCCUAACCAGCACCGAGUUAAGUAACACUGUCCCCAUCACUUAAUACUUCACUACACCCGGUAUGGCUGCCUCAAUGCACCUGUUGAUACAGCCCAGAAUGACGGCUGCUUUUUUGGGGAGGACAGCAUUGCACUGCUGACUGCCGUUUAAUGUGCAAUGCACCAAAGCCCAGAUCCUUCUCGGCAUCACCAUUACCCAGCCAGUCGUCUCCUGUCUUGCCUUUGUGCUUUUGGUUAUUCUCCCCCAGGUGCAGCACUUUGCAUUUGCCUCUGCUGAACCUCAUCGUUUUGUCUCUGGACCAGCUCCUCCGUCUGUCAAGGUCCCUCCGUUCUCCAGCGUUUGCAGUGUGUCACCUGCAGACUUGUUCAAGAAGCCCCUGGCGGCUGAAUUGUUAAUAAACAUGUUUAAAUC